GGCUCAGUAGGUAGAGCAUGGCACGUGCAAUACCAGGGUUGUGGGUUCGAUUCCCAC
rnacentral:tRNA from 1 species